rnacentral:misc_RNA from 1 species
GAUGAAGAACGUAGUAAAAUGCGAUACGUAAUGUGAAUUGCAGAAUUCAGUGAAUCAUCGAAUCUUUGAACGCAUAUUGCGCUCUCUGGUAUUCCGGAGAGCAUGCUUGUUUGAGUAUCAGUAAACACCUCAACUUCCAUAUCUUUUUUGAAAUGGGAGUUGGACUUGAGUGAUCCCAACGCUUUUCCUCACCGAAAAGUGGCGGGUUACUUGAAAUGCAGGUGCAGCUGGACUUUUCUCUGAGCUAUAAGCAUAUCUAUUUAGUCUGCCUAAAAACAGAUUAUUACCUUUGCUGCAGCUAACAUAAAGGAGAUUAGUUCUUGUGCUGACUGAUGCAGGAUUCACAAAGACAGGCUUCGGCCGACUUUGUAAACUCGAUCUCAAAUCAAGUAAGACUACCCGCUGAACUUAAGCAUAUCAAUAAGCGGAGGA